AGCUUGGUAGGGCGUGGCUGCGCAGAAAGUUUGGCGUGUUCGCUUUGUCUUAACGCGCUACUGUGCGUUUGCACCUUGCUUGGAUAUCUACAAGUUAAUUGUUUGGUUCUUAACCGCCAGGAAAGCCUUGGCAGAAGUGACAGCCGUUGAGGGCUCUGCCUUUUUCUUUUUUCUGGGCUCAGAUCCUGGGCCAUGGUGUUGGAAAUGGGAGUUGCCUUCUUCCCCUUGGAAGCCCCGAACUACUACCCCCAACAUCCUCUUUUUUCUUUAGCUGAAGAUGGUAUUCACGGUGAGGGUUUGGGCCAUUUUGGAGAGUUAGUCAGUUUUCCUGGGUCUCUCCCAUGUAUACAUGUUAUUAAACUUUCGUUUGAUUUUCUCUUGUUAA